UCCUCCGUGGCGCAAUUGGCUAGCGCGUUCGACUGUUAAGCAUAGCAUAGCAAAUCGAGAGGUUGAAAGUUCGAGCCUUUCCGGGGGAG